GGAGCAGGCACACACUCAACAGAGGAGUACAUAGAAAGGUUUCUACUUCUGAGAAGUUUUUGGAGUUUAGCAGUGUUGUCAGGCUCAGGAUCUUAAACCACAUCUAUCAGAUCCCUAAGUAGUAGAAAGGCUCAAUUAUGAUGCAGAUUUUUUCGAGCUACAGCAUCAAGUAGAAAUCAGCUUGAUUCUUUAUCAGAUGAAAUGGACUCCUGCAGCACUAUGUGCUUCAGGGAUUGAUUCCGAAAAGAGAGAAGAUACGGAUGCCAAAGACCCUGCUAACCUGGAGCCAGAUCCACUAUGGCCCUUGGGUACUGCAAUGUCCAGUGCUUCAAUGCCUUGCCUAUAGGAGCCUGGGCCUCGGAGAAGAAAGCACAGUGCUGAGUUCGGAGUUCAAUCUCCUUCCAACAGGAGCAGAGCUGAAGUGUUCAGACCCACAUCUCCCCACUACACCCCAUGGAAAGACUUUGCUUUGCCCUGUGAAGCUGCCCUGCUUUUCAGCAAAGACUAAAAGCUUGAAGGGGACAACAACAGAGGGCAUACAAGAAUGUGCAUUGCUGUAGUCCAAAGAUUAUGGGAUUCACACAGGAAGGAAGAAAACUGAUUUAAUCCCUGCUUCAAGGGCUGCUUAUGCAGAUGAAUGCAAAACAGGCAAGCUGCCUGUGGAACAAGGACUGCUAUAUGGAUUCAAAACUUCUGAAGACAAGUGGCUUCAUGCAGAUCUUUGUGAAAUAAGAUUAACUGGCACGAGACAGUGUGGUCUAAGUACGAUGCUGACUGGCCAGACUGAGGUUAGGCAAACAUAUCCCUCUUUCUCACCAAUCAGAAAAGGUCUCCACAUUGAUUUAAACAGACCUGAGGGUCUUCGCCCACCACAG